rnacentral:rRNA from 1 species
AGAACGAACGCUGGCGGCAUGCCUAACACAUGCAAGUCGAACGCUUUUGGGGCUUCGGUCCCAAAGGAGUGGCGCACGGGUGAGUAGCGCGUGGGAACCUGCCCUGGAGUGGGGGAUAACCGAGGGAAACUUCGGCUAAUACCGCAUACGCCGGGAAACCGGGAAAGAUUUAUCGCUCUAGGAGGGGCCCGCGUCGGAUUAGGUAGUUGGUGGGGUAACGGCCUACCAAGCCUUUGAUCCGUAGCUGGUCUGAGAGGAUGAUCAGCCACACUGGGACUGAGACACGGCCCAGACUCCUACGGGAGGCAGCAGUGGGGAAUAUUGGACAAUGGGCGCAAGCCUGAUCCAGCAAUGCCGCGUGAGUGAUGAAGGCCUUCGGGUUGUAAACCUCUUUCACCAUCGACGAAGGUCCGGGUUUCUCGGAUUGACGGUAGGUGGAGAAGAAGCGACCGGCCAACUACGUGCCAGCAGCCGC